UUCUGUGCGUCCGCAAGAACGUCCCGUUUCUCACCUCACACCACAGCAGCUACUUCCCCUAUUCACGUAUGUGUUGGCUGGAGGUUCUAUUUUGUGGUUGAUAUUCGCAACUGAACGACCAAGAAACACCGCCAUUAGCAUUCAACUGUCACACUUGAAUGGAAAAUGGAAGACAGCCAAUUCCAAUGUUUGCUCAAGGUUUUGAGAUUGGGAGGACUGUGCAAAAAGUCAGCAUCACUGCGAAGCAGACUGGGAGAAUGUAUGCGUGAGAAGGGCUGCAACGGAGGAGAUUAUAACUGGUGCAGAAAGCCCCUUCGACCAAAGUCCCUCUGAUCCUCUUACUUCCUAGGAUCCAACCAUUGAUCAUACCACUUCUUUACCUGGCUUAAACACAGCAACUAGCAAAUCCUGGAGACUCAAGGGCAGGUCCUGGAGGGUUGACAACAAUAUCGUAGAUAUUACUUCUGGGAAGAGAGCAGAGUUGAUGUUUCAUGACCAGCGACACUUCUGAGAACCGGUCCUGAUGAGGAGUCACUGGACUCGAAACGUGAACUCCGCUUUUUUCUCACAGAUGCUGUGGCUUCCUCUACAUUGGGGAAACCAAGCAGAGGCUUGGGGACCGCUUCGCAGAACACCUCCGCUCGGUUCGCAAUAAACAACUGCACCUCCCAGUCGUGAACCACUUUAACUCAUCCUCCCAUUCUUCAGAUGACAUGUCCAUCAUGGGCCUCCUGCAGUGCCACAAGGAUGCCACCCGAAGGUUGCAGGAACAGCAACUCAUAUUCUGCUUGGGAACCCUGCAGCCCAGCUUCAAA